GAUGAACGCUGGCGGCGUGCCUAAUACAUGCAAGUCGAGCGAACAGACGAGGAGCUUGCUCCUCUGACGUUAGCGGCGGACGGGUGAGUAACACGUGGAUAACCUACCUAUAAGACUGGGAUAACUUCGGGAAACCGGAGCUAAUACCGGAUAACAUGUUGAACCGCAUGGUUCAACAGUGAAAGACGGUCUUGCUGUCACUUAUAGAUGGAUCCGCGCCGCAUUAGCUAGUUGGUAAGGUAACGGCUUACCAAGGCAACGAUGCGUAGCCGACCGGAGAGGGUGAUCGGCCACACAGGAACUGAGACACGGUCCAGACUCCUACGGGAGGCAGCAGUAGGGAAUCUUCCGCAAUGGGCGAAAGCCUGACGGAGCAACGCCGCGUGAGUGAAGAAGGUCUUCGGAUCGUAAAACUCUGUUAUUAGGGAAGAACAAAUGUGUAAGUAACUAUGCACGUCUUGACGGUACCUAAUCAGAAAGCCACGGCUAACUACGUGCCAGCCGCCGCAGUAA
rnacentral:rRNA from 1 species